UGUUCAAAGCCAGACGUGCAGAAUGGAAGAAUGGUCAAUGCAUUAGAUGAGAAAAUGUGGUACAACGUAAAUGAAAGCAUUACUUUCAAAUGCUCUUCUGGGUACCAAUUUUCAGACCAUUGGUACCUGCCUACAACAGACAGCUUUAGUAUUACUUGUUCAGCCAACGGCAACUGGACAGCAUUACCCAAAUGUAAAAAGCAAAGCAAUACUGAAGAAUGUGCAGGGGCACGUGAGAGUAAAGAGUUUCUCCAUUGUGAUGUGCCUGUGACGGAACUGAGAACCCUGCUGGAACUGAAGAAACUGUAUCUGGAGAUUCAGAAACUGAAGCGGGAGAUUAAAAAAUUGUAAUGGCUGCUGAAAUCUGUGAUCCUCAUUGUGUUAGGAAAGUGGAAGCAAGUAGAGGAACUAGAUUGAACUGAAGGUUUAUUUUCAUACAAGCUUCAGACCCUGUGCAGCUGGAAAUUUACGGCAACAACCUUCAGCUUCGCCAUAAUUGCUGCUUACAUUUAACUUUUAUGCAUGAUAACACAUACGUUCACAGUGGGUGUAUGGCCAUUCUACUGUCUGAUUUACAUUAACCUUAAGGGCAGUGAUGUUCAUAACUCCCUGUGCACCACUGAAAAUCUAAGGGAUAGCAAAGCAAUCUUCCCUGUCCUGUGGAUUUAAACUCCGCUCAGCAGACUUUCUUCCCAGUCUGACCAGAUCUAGUUUUGAUUGAUACCAGUGUUAUCACCCGAGGCAUUUUUAUAUCUAAUCACACUCAAGAGUAGAUGGUAGAAAUUUAACUGUAGAGAAACAGCCUGCUAAGCCAUUUCCCCAUUGCCCAAUAAAUUGACCUGUACCUUUUGUGACCAAGUCAUUAUUCCUGCAUUCCAGGGCUACAAUAAAAUGCAAUUGUUAUAA